UCAAAGAUCAGAUGGUUGUAGAUGUGGU
rnacentral:piRNA from 1 species